GAUGAACGCUGGCGGCGUGCCUAAUACAUGCAAGUCGAGCGAACGGACGAGAAGCUUGCUUCUCUGAUGUUAGCGGCGGACGGGUGAGUAACACGUGGAUAACCUACCUAUAAGACUGGGAUAACUUCGGGAAACCGGAGCUAAUACCGGAUAAUAUUUUGAACCGCAUGAUUCAAAAGUGAAAGACGGUCUUGCUGUCACUUAUAGAUGGAUCCGCGCUGCAUUAGCUAGUUGGUAAGGUAACGGCUUACCAAGGCAACGAUGCAUAGCCGACCUGAGAGGGUGAUCGGCCACACUGGAACUGAGACACGGUCCAGACUCCUACGGGAGGCAGCAGUAGGGAAUCUUCCGCAAGGGGCGAAAGCCUGACGGAGCAACGCCGUGUGAGUGAUGAAGGUCUUCGGAUCGUAAAACUCUGUUAUUAGGGAAGAACAUAUGUGUAAGUAACUGUGCACAUCUUGACGGUACCUAAUCAGAAGGCCACGGCUAACUACG
rnacentral:rRNA from 1 species